rnacentral:rRNA from 2 species
AUUGGGCGUAAGAGCUCGUAGGCGGUUUGUCGCGUCUGCUGUGAAAUCCCGAGGCUCAACCUCGGGCUUGCAGUGGGUACGGGCAGACUAGAGUGCGGUAGGGGAGAUUGGAAUUCCUGGUGUAGCGGUGGAAUGCGCAGAUAUCAGGAGGAACACCGAUGGCGAAGGCAGAUCUCUGGGCCGUAACUGACGCUGAGGAGCGAAAGCGUGGGGAGCGAACAGGAUUAGAUACCCUGGUAGUCCACGCCGUAAACGUUGGGCGCUAGAUGUAGGGACCUUUCCACGGUUUCUGUGUCGUAGCUAACGCAUUAAGCGCCCCGCCUGGGGAGUACGGCCGCAAGGCUAAAACUCAAAGGAAUUGACGGGGGCCCGCACAAGCGGCGGAGCAUGCGGAUUAAUUCGAUGCAACGCGAAGAACCUUACCAAGGCUUGACAUACACCGGAAACGGCCAGAGAUGGUCGCCCCCUUGUGGUCGGUGUACAGGUGGUGCAUGGUUGUCGUCAGCUCGUGUCGUGAGAUGUUGGGUUAAGUCCCGCAACGAGCGCAACCCUCGUUCUAUGUUGCCAGCGCGUUAUGGCGGGGACUCAUAGGAGACUGCCGGGGUCAACUCGGAGGAAGGUGGGGAUGACGUCAAAUCAUCAUGCCCCUUAUGUCUUGGGCUUCACGCAUGCUACAAUGGCCGGUACAAAGGGCUGCGAUACCGUAAGGUGGAGCGAAUCCCAAAAAGCCGGUCUCAGUUCGGAUUGAGGUCUGCAACUCGACCUCAUGAAGUCGGAGUCGCUAGUAAUCGCAGAUCAGCAACGCUGCGGUGAAUACGUUCCCGGGCCUUGUACACACCGCCCGUCAAGUCAUGAAAGUCGGUAACACCCGAAGCCGGUGGCCUAACCCUUGUGGAAGGAGCCGUC